CAUUUCAGCCAGAACCCCGGCUAAUGGGCUUCCUAUCGGAACGCCUGUCACUUGCUGGUAAAAUUCUCCUUCGAAUUGAACGUAAACUUCGUGUAUCAGUAGAUGGCAUAGGCUUCUUAGGAGUUCUGGAUCUUUUUCUUCUGGGGGUAAUUGUUCUAAGAACAUACAGUAGAGUAGCAGACAUGCCGGCUCCAGUUUUAUCGAUGGGUACAAGGCCUCAUAAUCAUAAACCUCAAUGCUUUCAUCUGGGAGGGGGCCUUUCUUGUAAAGUGCCUGAAUAAAUUGCACUGUCAAAUUUAACGACCAUUCAUAUCCUUUCAGUUU
rnacentral:lncRNA from 1 species